AGCGGUGGAGCAUGUGGUUUAAUUUGAUGCAACGCAAAGAACCUUACCAGAAUUUGACAUAAUAUAAACAUUUUUUAAUCAAAAUUUAUUAUUUAUUAAUAUAUAUAUACAGGUGGUGCAUGGCUGUCGUCAGCUCGUAUCGUGAGAUGUCGGAUUAAGUUCCAUAACGAGCGUAACCCUUAUUUUUAGUUACUUUUCUAUAAAGACUGCUGGUUAUACAUCAGAGGAAGGAAAGGAUGACGUCAAGUCAGCAUGCCCCUUAUAUUCUGGGCUACACACGUGCUACAUUGAGUAAUAUAAUUAGUUGCCCAAUUGUAAAAUUUUAGCUAAUCUAAAAAAUUAUUCGUUUUUUGAAUUGUAGACUGCAACUCGUCUACAUGAAAUUGGAAUCGCUAGUAAUCGCUGGUCAGCCAUACAGCGGUGAAUACGUUCCCAAACCUUGUACACACCGCCCGUCACAUCAUGGAAGCUCA
rnacentral:rRNA from 1 species